rnacentral:rRNA from 1 species
CCAAACUGUUGCCUCGGCGGGAUCUCUGCCCCGGGUGCGUCGCAGCCCCGGACCAAGGCGCCCGCCGGAGGACCAACCAAAACUCUUAUUGUAUACCCCCUCGCGGGUUUUUUUAUAAUCUGAGCCUUCUCGGCGCCUCUCGUAGGCGUUUCGAAAAUGAAUCAAAACUUUCAACAACGGAUCUCUUGGUUCUGGCAUCGAUGAAGAACGCAGCGAAAUGCGAUAAGUAAUGUGAAUUGCAGAAUUCAGUGAAUCAUCGAAUCUUUGAACGCACAUUGCGCCCGCCAGUAUUCUGGCGGGCAUGCCUGUCCGAGCGUCAUUUCAACCCUCGAACCCCUCCGGGGGGUCGGCGUUGGGGAUCGGCCCUCCCUUAGCGGGGUGGCCGUCUCCGAAAUACAGUGGCGGUCUCGCCGCAGCCUCUCCUGCGCAGUAGUUUGCACACUCGCAUCGGGAGCGCGGCGCGUCCACAGCCGUUAAACACCCAACUUCUGAAAUGUUGACCUCGGAUCAGGUAGGAAUACCCGCUGAACUUAAGCAUAUCAAUAGCCGGAGGAA